GCAAUGGGCGGAAGCCUGACGCAGCGACGCCGCGUGAGGGAUGACGGCCUUCGGGUUGUAAACCUCUUUCAGCAGGGACGAAGCGCAAGUGACGGUACCUGCAGAAGAAGCACCGGCCAACUACGUGCCAGCAGCCGCGGUAAGACGUAGGGUGCAAGCGUUGUCCGGAUUUAUUGGGCGUAAAGAGCUCGUAGGCGGCUCGUCGCGUCGACUGUGAAAACUCGGGGCUUAACCCUGGGCCUGCAGUCGAUACGGGCGGGCUAGAGUUCGGUAGGGGAGACUGGAAUUCCUGGUGUAGCGGUGAAAUGCGCAGAUAUCAGGAGGAACACCGGUGGCGAAGGCGGGUCUCUGGGCCGAUACUGACGCUGAGGAGCGAAAGCGUGGGGAGCGAACAGGAUUAGAUACCCUGGUAGUCCACGCUGUAAACGUUGGGCGCUAGGUGUGGGGACCUCUCCAGGUCUCCGUGCCGCAGCUAACGCAUUAAGCGGCCCCGCCUGGGGAGUACG
rnacentral:rRNA from 1 species